AUUGAACGCUGGCGGCAGGCCUAACACAUGCAAGUCGAACGAGUGGCGGACGGGUGAGUAAUGUCUGGGAAACUGCCUGAUGGAGGGGGCUAACUACUGGAAACGGUAGAUAAUACCGCAUACCAUCGGAUGUGCCCAGAUGGGAAUAGCUAGUAGGUGGGGUAACGGCUCACCAAGGCGACGAUCCCUAGCUGGUCUGAGAGGCUGAUCAGCCACACUGGGACUGAGACACGGUCCAGACUCCGACGGGAGGCAGCAGUGGGGAAUCUUGGACAAUGGGCGAAAGCCUGAUGCAGCCAUGCCGCGUGUAUGAAGAAGGCAUUCGGGUUGUAAAGUACUUUCAUCGGGGAGGCGUUACCCGCAGAAGAAGCCCCGGCUAACUCCGUGCCAGCAGCCGCGGUAAUUC
rnacentral:rRNA from 1 species